UACGUAGGGGGCAAGCGUUAUCCGGAUUUACUGGGUGUAAAGGGAGCGUAGACGGCAUGGCAAGCCAGAUGUGAAAGCCCGGGGCUCAACCCCGGGACUGCAUUUGGAACUGUCAGGCUAGAGUGUCGGAGAGGUAAGCGGAAUUCCUAGUGUAGCGGUGAAAUGCGUAGAUAUUAGGAGGAACACCAGUGGCGAAGGCGGCUUACUGGACGAUGACUGACGUUGAGGCUCGAAAGCGUGGGGAGCAAACAGG
rnacentral:rRNA from 1 species